GAUGAACGCUGGCGGCGUGCCUAAUACAUGCAAGUCGAGCGAACGGACGAGAAGCUUGCUUCUCUGAUGUUAGCGGCGGACGGGUGAGUAACACGUGGAUAACCUACCUAUAAGACUGGGAUAACUUCGGGAAACCGGAGCUAAUACCGGAUAAUAUUUUGAACCGCAUGGUUCAAAAGUGAAAGACGGUCUUGCUGUCACUUAUAGAUGGAUCCGCGCUGCAUUAGCUAGUUGGUAAGGUAACGGCUUACCAAGGCAACGAUGCAUAGCCGACCUGAGAGGGUGAUCGGCCACACUGGAACUGAGACACGGUCCAGACUCCUACGGGAGGCAGCAGUAGGGAUUCUUCCGCAAUGGGCGAAAGCCUGACGGAGCAACGCCGCGUGAGUGAUGAAGGUCUUCGGAUCGUAAAACUCUGUUAUUAGGGAAGAACAUAUGUGUAAGUAACUGUGCACAUCUUGACGGUACCUAAUCAGAAAGCCACGGCUAACUACGU
rnacentral:rRNA from 1 species